GAUGAACGCUGGCGGCGUGCCUAAUACAUGCAAGUCGAGCGAACAGACGAGGAGCUUGCUCCUCUGACGUUAGCUGCGGACGGGUGAGUAACAUGUGGAUAACCUACCUAUAAGACUGGGAUAACUUCGGGAAACCGGAGCUAAUACUGGAUAAUAUAUUGAACCGCAUGGUUCAAUAGUGAAAGACGGUUUUGCUGUCACUUAUAGAUGGAUCCGCGCCGCAUUAGCUAGUUGGUAAGGUAACGGCUUACCAAGGCAACGAUGCGUAGCCGACCUGAGAGGGUGAUCGGCCACACUGGAACUGAGACACGGUCCAGACUUCUACGGGAGGCAGCAGUAGGGAAUCUUCCGCAAUGGGCGAAAGCCUGACGGAGCAACGCCGCGUGAGUGAUGAAGGUCUUCGGAUCGUAAAACUCUGUUAUUAGGGAAGAACAAAUGUGUAAGUAACUAUGCACGUCUUGAUGGUACCUAAUCAGAAAGCCACGGCUAACUACGUG
rnacentral:rRNA from 1 species